rfam:Trametes pubescens strain FBCC735 TRAPTBscaffold_1024, whole genome shotgun sequence.
CCUUCGAUAGCUCAGCUGGAAGAGCGUGGGACUGUAAUGGGUUAACGCACACAUCCCAAGGCCACUGGUUCGAUCCCGGUUCGAAGGA